GAAGAUUCAAAAUCACGAACCGUUACUGCAUGGACUACUCUCGGUCUCUUUGUUUGCUCAUCGACAUUACAAGAAAUAUAAUGAAGUAACAGUGGAGGCAAAACAUCAGACUGAUCCAGACACUGAAGAAAUUGAUGUCACUGCAAUCUGGCCAAAAUGAUACAACUAUAUUGAACUAGCCUACUGUAAUGAAGCUGCAGAACAACAGAGACUCUGAGGACAUCAACACAGAAAAUGAAGGCUCCAAAGAGAUGUCUGUCCAGAUGAGGGUGCAUCAACUUUACCUUUGCUGACAACAGUUAACUUAACUCAAACCAUUUAAGGAAAUCGGUUGCCUUAACCCAUUAAGUUUUAAAAAACAUACAUUUGAG